rnacentral:piRNA from 1 species
UCUGGAGUGAACUUGGGGUUACGUCCAGU